rnacentral:lncRNA from 1 species
GCAGGCUCCUGGGGGCUGCUCUUUGCAUGUCCCCCAAAGGCCACGUCUGAAGGUUUGGUCGCCCGUCUGUGUGCUAUGGGAGGGCGUGGAACCUGUAGGGGUGGGGCCUAACCGUAGGAAGUUGCAUCAUUGGGGGCGUGGCCUGGCAGGGGUACUGGGAUUGGAGUUCCUCUGGUCUUCAGGAGAGAGCCCCUUCCUGCCCGUGGCUCCCAACUGUGAUGCUCUGAGCCACCACAGACUCAAAGGAUGGAGUGGAGAUCAUGCAGGAACCCAGUGAAAUUGUGAACCUAGGUAGACCUUUCUUCCUUUGUUUUUGUUUUUUUGAGACGAGGCCUUGUUACGUUGCCCAAGCUGGUCUUCAACUUCUGGGCCCAAGGGAUCGACCUGCCUCAGCUUCUCAAUGACAGAAAGCUGACUACCACACUGGCCCUCAGUUUUCUUGAAUCCGCCUACCUCAGGAGACAUUUAGGGUGAGAAAAAGUUUGCUCAGCACCUGGAAGGAAGCUCCCCCACCACCAUCCCAAGCUCCUAGGGCAGAGAAGGAGACCCGGUGCCAGCACCCAGAAGGAAGCUCCCUCGCCGCUAUCCCAAGCUCCUAGGGCAGAGAAGGUGAGCUGGUCCAAGCACUCGGAAGGAAGCUCCUCUGCUGCCAUCCGAAGCUCCUAGGGCAGAGAAGCAGAUCCUCUGCAAGGCAAGGCCACACCCCUUCUACGGGGCUCAGCAGCUUUGAGAAUCCUCCCUGACCAUCAGGCCCUCCGUCAGCAGUGUUCUCCCCAGGCCAUCUGGAUUUCAGAUGACGGUUCCCCGGACAUCAUGAUUUGCAGCUUUAUAGGUUGAAGUGCUGGAGCUACUGAAUAAAGCACUGUGUCUCCUUCCACAUGUAUCACAUUCCAGUCCAAAGAAGCAGACCGUGGAACAAAGGUUUAACUGCAAGUAAUUUGUUUGAUGGAUAAGCCCAGGACACAGUGGCUGGGGAGAGAGAUAAACAAGACACUGAUGGCCCCAGAAGCUCAAGUGCAGGUGCCAUUGUCUAGAACGGGAGCUUGCAGGUGCGAACCCAGCAGGGCCCUGGGUGUCCUUGGGCACUGACAGGGUCCCAACUGUGAGCACCAUCUGCUCCUGUGAAGGGUG